rnacentral:misc_RNA from 1 species
UGGGUUUGACAUAUACGGGAAGCCCCCAGAGAUGGGGGUCUCUUUGGACACUCGUAUACAGGUGGUGCAUGGCUGUCGUCAGCUCGUGUCGUGAGAUGUUGGGUUAAGUCCCGCAACGAGCGCAACCCUCGUCUUAUGUUGCCAGCACGUUAUGGUGGGGACUCAUAAGAGACUGCCGGGGUCAACUCGGAGGAAGGUGGGGAUGACGUUCGUCUGAC